ACGUGGACCUUAUUUCCCUCAGGUUGGCUGGAAUCCAUUUGAUUGGUUUUCACUCAAGCAGAAGAGCCAAUUUUGCCCUCAAGCUUGUUCCAGAAAGCAUGGCCUCUCUUUUCCCGGCAAAGGGGAAUAGUUACCGGAGGACUGAGUCAAUGUAGCGAGAUCUGAGUUACUACUCACCGGAAGGCCAACAAAUCUCUAUCUUCCUUCAGCCCUUCACUCUCUUUAUCUCUGCAAACGAUUUGCAAGGGAAAACCAAACAAAAAGAUAGAGGGUUUUGUAUAUUUGCAGAACUCUUUGAUCAGGAUAAUUGAAGAUGUGGAGUGAGAUAGAAGCAACGACCGAGGAGCAAAACUGGAAAUAACGGUGUAAUUAACUACCACAGCCCGUUAAGAAUCGAGCCUGGGAACUAGCACAUGAGCUAACGGAAAAUCAAGAGAAUGACGUGGCAACGUCGUCUUGAUGUGGUACUUGUUGGAGGGUUAAAUAUUCGAUGAUGGGGUCUCCUGCUUUAACGGCAAAACUACGAUGUUAGGGCUUUGGCGUUAAGAUCGAGAAAGUGGUUUUGGUUCUCUCUUAUCCAUUCAAUCGCAAAAUCUCAUGACGUGACGGAACCGUCACUGACGUCGUUACUAGUCCCCGUUGCUAGAGUAGCAAUCUAGUGCGGGCACGCUCUUCAGUUGGUAGUUGGUUGGUGGAUUGCGUGGUACGUAUAUGAUUAAAUAAUAUGCAAUAUCAUUGAUUAUUUCAAAA